AUUGAACGCUGGCGGCAUGCUUUACACAUGCAAGUCGAACGGUAACGCGGGGGCAACCCUGGCGACGAGUGGCGAACGGGUGAGUAAUACAUCGGAACGUGUCCUGGAGUGGGGGAUAGCUCGGCGAAAGCCGGAUUAAUACCGCAUACGCUCUGAGGAGGAAAGCGGGGGACCUUCGGGCCUCGCGCUGCGGGAGCGGCCGAUGUCGGAUUAGCUAGUUGGUGGGGUAAAGGCCCACCAAGGCGACGAUCCGUAGCUGGUCUGAGAGGAUGAUCAGCAAGACUGGGACUGAGACACGGCCCAGACUCCUACGGGAGGCAGCAGUGGGGAAUUUUGGACAAUGGGGGCAACCCUGAUCCAGCCAUGCCGCGUGAGUGAAGAAGGCCUUCGGGUUGUAAAGCUCUUUCGGACGGAACGAAACGGUUACGGUGAAUAAUCGUGACUAAUGACGGUACCGUAAGAAGAAGCACCGGCUAACUACGUGCCAGCCGCCGCCGUAA
rnacentral:rRNA from 1 species